AGCAGCCGCGGUAAUUCCAGCUCCAAUAGCGUAUAUUAAAGUUGUUGCAGUUAAAAAGCUCGUAGUUGAACUUCGGGGUCUACCCAUUGGUCAGGCUUAAUUGUCUGCACUGGUGAGAUGGAUCUCUACCUUCUGAGGAACUUUCAUGCCAUUUAUUUGGUGUGGUUGGAAAUCAGGACUGUUACUUUGAAAAAUUAGAGUGUUUAAAGCAGACUAUCGUCUGAAUACAUUAGCAUGGAAUAAUGAAAUAGGACGGACUGAUUCUAUUUCGUUGGUUUCUAGGAUCACCGUAAUGAUUAAUAGGGAUAGUUGGGGGCAUUAGUAUUCAAUUGUCAGAGGUGAAAUUCUUGGAUUUUAUUGAAGACUAACUACUGCGAAAGCAUUUGCCAAGGAUGUUUUCAUUAAUCAAGAACGAAAGUUAGGGGAUCGAAGACGAUCAGAUACCGUCGU
rnacentral:rRNA from 1 species